UACGUAGGGUGCGAGCGUUAAUCGGAAUUACUGGGCGUAAAGCGUGCGCAGGCGGUUCGUGAUGUCUGAUGUGAAAGCCCCCGGGCUCAACCUGGGAAUUGCAUUGGAAACUAGCGGGCUGGAGUGUGGCAGAGGGGGGUGGAAUUCCACGUGUAGCAGUGAAAUGCGUAGAGAUGUGGAGGAACACCGAUGGCGAAGGCAGCCCCCUGGGCUAACACUGACGCUCAUGCACGAAAGCGUGGGGAGCAAACAGG
rnacentral:rRNA from 1 species